rnacentral:rRNA from 1 species
AGACCCGAAGCCUGGUGAUCUUGCCAUGGCCAAGUGCUAAUUAAUAAGACUGAACGGGUGUCCGUUGCAAGGGACUCCGAAGAGCUGUGGCAAGGGGUGAAAAGCCAAUCUAACCUGGAGAUAGCUGGUCUUCUGCGAAAUCCGUUUUAGCGGAUAGCCCAUUUAUUAAAUUAUAAAAAAAUUCAAAUUAAUUCGUUACUAGACGGUAUGGCACUGGAAGUCACGCAGUUUUUAUUGCCUAAUCAGGGGGCUGUCAUGGCUCUAUCGAUGGCUUCUAACCCCAGAAAUGUAUAGUAUACAAUAAUGGGCAAUCAGACAUAUCGUGAUAAGGCGAUUUGUCAAAAGGGAAACAGCCCAGAACAGGUGUGAAGGUCCCUAACAAACUACUGAGUGAACACAAGGCAGUCCUUUCCAGUGUCUCUCCACAAAGUGGGCUUG